rnacentral:tRNA from 1 species
GUAAAUAUAGUUUAACCAAAAACAUUAGAUUGUGAAUCUAAAUAUAGAAACUCAUCACUUCUUAUUUACC